UUCUUCUUCUCUUCCUUCUCAGCUUCUUCUUCUGUCUAAUAUCUUUCUAUUUCUUUCACUGUCAGUGUCUUCUUUUUUUUUCCCUCGUUUCAGGGAGAAAGAAGCUCAUACCGUACGCAACGACGUCGUUUUGCGAGUUCGAAGCUCUCUGAAACAUUCAGCGUUCUCUCUUCAGAAGCCGAGGUUCCGUUUUCACUUAAUUAUAUAUCUCGGAACAUUGUAAAUCGAAACCAGUGUUACCGGUUGAGGCGUAGGGUUAGGUUUUUCUGUCUCUUACUCUCUUCUGCGCUAAGCUUUUCCGGAAUGCAUCGGAGCGAGCGGUUACCGAGCGCUCCGAUCGAGGAAUCGCCGGAGGUUUGAUGGAAUCGGCGCCGUUUGCGUUCCGGUGUUCGCCAUUCCAUGGAGUCCAUGGUUCGGUGCUAUAGUUCGUGCGCGUUAUUCGGAUUUCGUUGCAACCUUCGAUUCGCCGUUGUUGUUUUUGAGAUUAUAUUGAUAUUGGCAUGGUUGGAAGUCUAUAAUGCAAAGCUCCCAGAACACCGAUUUCAUGGGGGAGGUUUGGAGGGGAGGAGUGAGAACAUUGCCUCACACUCUUGCAUACAUGACCAGAUACUUGAACAGAGAAAGCGACCUGGUCGAAAGGUGUAUUCCGUUACCCCACAGGUUUACAAGCCCGGUCUUUCGAAACACCUCCAGCUUAAAGGUAGAGCGUUGCUUGGUAUAUCAACAUCAUCAGAGCUUCUAGGGAUUGAAAAGCAACCUAUUAGGAUAUAUCUAAAUUAUGAUGCAGUUGGUCACUCCCCUGACAGGGAUUGCCAAAAGAUUGGUGAUAUUGUGAAGCUUGGGGAGCCUGCCAUAACUUCUCUUCCUGGUUUGCCUUCCUGUAAUCCUCUUGCUGAUCCUCCUGUCUUUGGUGAUUGUUGGUAUAACUGCACUUCUGAAGAUAUCUCAGGAGAGGACAAAAAACGUCGCCUUCGUAAGGCAUUAGGUCAGACAGCUGACUGGUUUCGAAGGGUAUUGUCUGUGGAGCCUGUGAAGGGGAACCUGCGGUUAAGUGGAUACUCUGCAUGUGGACAAGAUGGAGGUGUGCAGCUCCCUCAUGCAUAUGUGGAAGAGGGAGUCUCUGAUGCCGACUUGGUUCUCUUGGUGACUACAAGACCUACUACCGGGAAUACACUUGCUUGGGCUGUGGCAUGUGAACGGGACCAAUGGGGUCGUGCUAUAGCUGGACAUGUUAAUGUUGCUCCACGUCAUUUGACUGCUGAGGCGGAGACUUUGCUAUCAGCUACUUUGAUACAUGAGGUUAUGCAUGUUCUUGGUUUUGAUCCACAUGCCUUUGCUCAUUUUAGAGAUGAAAGGAAAAGACGCCUUGACAAGGUAACUGAACAAGUUAUGGAUGAAAAGAUUGGGCGGAUGGUAACACGAGUGGUGCUUCCACGUGUUGUUAUGCACUCCCGGCAUCAUUAUGCGGCAUUUUCAGGAAAUUUUACUGGCUUAGAGCUGGAAGAUGGUGGAGGACGUGGCACAUCAGGGUCUCACUGGGAAAAGAGGCUUCUGAUGAAUGAGAUCAUGACUGGUUCUGUGGAUACAAGAUCUGUAGUUUCAAAAAUGACUCUAGCCCUAUUAGAAGACAGUGGAUGGUACAAAGCCAAUUAUAGCAUGGCAGACCAACUUGAUUGGGGUCGGAACCAGGGUACUGAGUUUGUUACCUCCCCUUGCAAUCUAUGGAAAGGGGCCUAUCAUUGCAACACAACACAAUUCUCAGGUUGUACGUAUAACAGAGAGGCAGAGGGUUACUGCCCAAUUCUAACCUACAGCGGAGAUCUUCCUCAGUCGGCUCGGUAUUUUCCUCAAGCUAAUAAAGGUGGACAAUCCUCAUUGGCUGAUUAUUGCACUUAUUUUGUUGCAUACUCUGACGGAUCAUGUACAGACACUAGCAGUGCACGGGCACCUGAUAGCAUGCUAGGUGAAGUUCGAGGAAGUAACUCCAGGUGCAUGGCCUCAUCGUUGGUGCGCACAGGAUUUGUAAGGGGUUCUCUGACCCAGGGAAAUGGCUGUUAUCAGCACAGGUGUAUCAACAAUUCUCUAGAGGUUGCUGUGGAUGGUGUCUGGAAAGUGUGUCCUCGGGCUGGUGGACCCAUUCAGUUCCCUGGUUUUAAUGGUGAAUUAAUCUGCCCUGCAUAUCAUGAGCUCUGUAACACGGAUCCUGUGGUUGUCUCUGGGCAAUGUCCCAGUGCAUGUAAUUUCAAUGGAGAUUGUGUUGAUGGAAGGUGUCACUGCUUUCUUGGAUUUCAUGGUCAUGAUUGCAGUGGACGUUACUGUCCCAGCAAUUGCACUGGCAAGGGGGUGUGCCUCACCAGUGGAAUAUGUGAAUGUAAAACUGGCUAUACUGGCAUUGACUGUUCCACUGGUACAUUUCAAGUUCCAUACUUGCUGUUUGCGAUGAGCAGUGCAGUCUUCAUGGUGGAGUUUGUGAUAAUGGAGUUUGUGAAUUCCGUUGUUCUGACUAUGCGGGAUAUACUUGCCAGAACAGCUCCAGGCUCAUCUCCAGUCUUUCAAUUUGCAGAAAUGUGCUGGGAAAUGAUAUUUCCGGACAACAUUGUGCACCCAGUGAACCUAGCAUACAACAGCAGCUAGAAGAAGUGGUUGUGAUGCCCAACUACCAUAGAUUAUUCCCUGGUGGUGCUAGGAAACUAUUUAAUAUAUUUGGCAGUACGUACUGUGAUGAGGCAGCCAAAAGGCUUGCCUGUUGGAUCUCAAUCCAGAAGUGUGAGAAGGAUGGAGACAACAGGCUACGAGUAUGUCAUUCCGCAUGUCAGGCUUACAAUCUAGCAUGUGGAGCUUCACUGGACUGCGGUGACCAAACCCUUUUCAGCAGCGAGGGGGAGAGGCAGGGUCAGUGCACUGGCUCUGGUGAGAUGAAAUUGUCAUGGUUUAAUCGACUAAGAAAUAGUUUUUCUUUGAGAAAUAGUUCCUCAAAAGUGAUAUCUGUAAGAUAUAGGCAGCUUUAGCUUCCAUUGUUUUCUCUCUUUCCGGGGAGAGGGGUGCUUGGAUUGUAAUCUUCACAGGGUUAUUUUAGGAGAAAUUGGGGGCAUGGAACGUCUUAGAUUUAGGGCCUUACUCGUCCAAAAUUGUCUAGAAAAAUGGGAUGAGAAGGCUAAAGAUUUGGCUUUCUAAGAGAGCCUCUUGUAGAGAAAAUUGAUAGUCUUUGGAAUUGCAUAGGUGAUGAGGGGGGAAAAUGAAGUUUAUAUUAAAUGACUUUUGGCCGAAGGCCUUCAGAGGGAAGGAAAAAAAUUGCCCUUCAUUUAUUUUGCUAUAUGUAUAGUUACAAAUUGUUCUUCAUUCCACCCUUUUAA